UAUGUACUCCCUCCGUUCCAAAUUACUUAUCGCAGAUAUGGAUGUAUCUAGAUGUAUUUUAGUUCUAGAUACAUCCAUUUCUGCGACGAGUAAUUUGGAACGGAGGGAGUACAUC
rfam:Triticum aestivum genome assembly, contig: Triticum_aestivum_CS42_TGACv1_scaffold_375994_5AL